CGACCGUCAGUGAGGUGGUAUCACCGUUGAGAAUCUAUGGCCCUGUGUGACGUCACGCGGAAGACUACAUAAAAGACAACAACCGGCGUCAACCGUGUCCAGCCAUCGCCCCAAGUGUAAGUGUAAGGUCACGCUACUGGUCAGCAGCAAGUGUCACCUGUGGGAAUCUCACUCCUUGCUGUUAUCUGACUCAAGGUGAUCAUCGAUAAUAUUUUACCUCGAGUCACAAUACAAGAAUUUGUUCGUCAGCUCAAACUGUUAGUGUGAGGAUGAAGCUGUACAUUGUGGUGCUGCUGGCGCUGCUGGCUGUGGCUGCUGCUAAUAAGACAGAGGUUAAACCACGCUUACUCAACAUUCUGUCGAUGAUGAAGGCUAGAGACCCGGAGAGCCACGGUAGCUGUAUGGUUCAGUGCCCUGAAAUUCUACCCUCAUUACUGACUAUAAUCUCCAGCCUCCUGUGCAGCCUCUGCUGCCAGAUCUUGUUCCCGCUUGCAAGCUGAGAAUGUGGUUUUCGAGAAUCACAUCAACCAAGGCGAUUUGGCUGAUAUAAAAUGCCGUUGAAGAUGUGAAAUAAAAACUUAGAAAAAGGAA